rnacentral:rRNA from 1 species
GUGAGGAAUAUUGCGCAAUGGAGGCAACUCUGACGCAGCCAUGCCGCGUGCAGGAAGAAGGCGCUACGCGUUGUAAACUGCUUUUAACCGGGAAGAAACCCCAGGACGUGUCCUGGGUUGACGGUACCGGAGGAAUAAGCACCGGCUAACUUCGUGCCAGCAGCCGCGGUAAUACGAAGGGUGCAAGCGUUAUCCGGAUUCAUUGGGUUUAAAGGGUGCGUAGGCGGAGCGUUAAGUCAGUGGUGAAAUCCUGCAGCUUAACUGUAGACUUGCCAUUGAUACUGGCGAUCUUGAGUGCGCUUGAAGUGGGCGGAAUGUGCCGUGUAGCGGUGAAAUGCUUAGAUAUGGCACAGAACACCAAUUGCGAAGGCAGCUCACUAAGGCGAUACUGACGCUGAGGCACGAAAGCGUGGGGAUCGAACAGGAUUAGAUACCCGUGUAGUCC